GAUCAUGGCUCAGGAUGAACGCUGGCGGCGUGCUUAACACAUGCAAGUCGAACGAAGCACUUUAUUACGAUUUCUUCGGAAUGACGAUUUAGUGACUGAGUGGCGGACGGGUGAGUAACGCGUGGGUAACCUGCCUUAUACAGGGGGAUAACAGUUAGAAAUGACUGCUAAUACCGCAUAAGCGCACAGUACCGCAUGGUACGGUGUGAAAAACUCCGGUGGUGUGAGAUGGACCCGCGUCUGAUUAGCUAGUUGGCAGGGCAACGGCCUACCAAGGCGACGAUCAGUAGCCGACCUGAGAGGGUGACCGGCCACAUUGGGACUGAGACACGGCCCAGACUCCUACGGGAGGCAGCAGUGGGGAAUAUUGCACAAUGGGGGAAACCCUGAUGCAGCGACGCCGCGUGGAGGAAGAAGGUCUUCGGAUUGUAAACUCCUGUUGUUGAGGAAGAUAAUGACGGUACUCAACAAGGAAGUGACGGCUAACUACGUG
rnacentral:rRNA from 1 species